rnacentral:rRNA from 1 species
CCUACGGGAGGCAGCAGUGGGGGAUAUUGCACAAUGGGGGAAACCCUGAUGCAGCGACGCCGCGUGGGGGAAGACGGUCCUCUGGAUUGUAAACCACUGUCCCCAGGGACGAAGAUGACGGUACCUGGGGAGGAAGCUCCGGCUAACGACGUGCCAGCAGCCGCGGUAAUACGUAGGGAGCGAGCGUUGUCCGGAAUUACUGGGUGAAAAGGGAGCGUAGGCGGGACUGCAAGUUGGGUGUCAAAUCUACCGGCUCAACCGGUAGCCGCACUCAAAACUGCAGUUCUUGAGUGAAGUAGAGGCAGGCGGAAUUCCUAGUGUAGCGGUGAAAUGCGUAGAUAUUAGGAGGAACACCAGUGGCGAAGGCGGCCUGCUGGGCUUUUACUGACGCUGAGGCUCGAAAGUGUGGGGAGCAAACAGGAUUAGAUACCCCAGUAGUC